rnacentral:lncRNA from 1 species
UUCAUGGCAAUCAAACAAUAAGAAUAUAUGGCUCAUACAUCAUACAAGUAGGCAACAAUUAUCAAUCAAAUCAGAUAAGCAAACAAUGUAUAAUCAAAUCAAAGAAUCAAAGAAUUAAAUAAUGGAGCAUUGAACAAUUCAUAGGAGUAUGAACAUGUUAAACAAUCAAGCAAUGGAAAGCAUGAAUGAGAGAAACAAGUAUAAAAGAUAACAGAUGAACCAGACAGAUGAAAAGAUGUACAAAAGGG